GAGUCGGCAAGAUUUGGAUAGUGAUUGGAUGUGGGGCUGAAAGGAGAGCUCAGAGUCAAGGAUAACACCGAAUACCCUGACUUGAUGGGAGGGGGCAAUUGUUGUGGUGU